rnacentral:lncRNA from 1 species
CUCAUCUUGAUGCAUCCUGCGAAGUCAGAUGUGUCCAGCUUGCACCUGAUUGACUGUGUGAAGAAUUAUUUGUCUUCUUUAAAUGAAAUCCAGGACUUUCAGCCUCAGUUCAAUUCUGAUCUUCUAUCCUACUGAAACUCCCUUGUUUGAUUUACUGCCUGGACUAAAUGAUGCAGAAAAAAUCACAGCUAAUCUGACCUUUGCUCUUGCUGUUUGGCUAAAC